GACGAACGCUGGCGGCGUGCUUAACACAUGCAAGUCGAACGGUAAGGCCCUUUUGGGGGUACACGAGUGGCGAACGGGUGAGUAACACGUGAGUAACCUGCCCCAGUCUCUGGGAUAACAGCCGGAAACGGUUGCUAAUACCGGAUAUUCAGCUUCUGCCGCAUGGUGGUUGUUGGAAAGUUCCGGCGGUCUGGGAUGGACUCGCGGCCUAUCAGCUUGUUGGUGAGGUAGUGGCUCACCAAGGCUUCGACGGGUAGCCGGCCUGAGAGGGUGACCGGCCACAUUGGGACUGAGAUACGGCCCAAACUCCUACGGGAGGCAGCAGUGGGGAAUAUUGCACAAUGGACGGAAGUCUGAUGCAGCAACGCCGCGUGCGGG
rnacentral:rRNA from 1 species